UCAGGUAGAGAAUACCAAGGCGCUUGAGAGAACUCGGGUGAAGGAACUAGGCAAAAUGGUGCCGUAACUUCGGGAGAAGGCACGCUGAUAUGUAGGUGAAGCGACUUGCUCGUGGAGCUGAAAUCAGUCGAAGAUACCAGCUGGCUGCAACUGUUUAUUAAAAACACAGCACUGUGCAAACACGAAAGUGGACGUAUACGGUGUGACGCCUGCCCGGUGCCGGAAGGUUAAUUGAUGGGGUUAGCGGUAACGCGAAGCUCUUGAUCGAAGCCCCGGUAAACGGCGGCCGUAACUAUAACGGUCCUAAGGUAGCGAAAUUCCUUGUCGGGUAAGUUCCGACCUGCACGAAUGGCGUAAUGAUGGCCAGGCUGUCUCCACCCGAGACUCAGUGAAAUUGAACUCGCUGUGAAGAUGCAGUGUACCCGCGGCAAGACGGAAAGACCCCGUGAACCUUUACUAUAGCUUGACACUGAACAUUGAGCCUUGAUGUGUAGGAUAGGUGGGAGGCUUUGAAGUGUGGACGCCAGUCUGCAUGGAGCCGACCUUGAAAUACCACCCUUUAAUGUUUGAUGUUCUAACGUUGGCCCGUAAUCCGGGUUGCGGACAGUGUCUGGUGGGUAGUUUGACUGGGGCGGUCUCCUCCUAAAGAGUAACGGAGGAGCACGAAGGUUGGCUAAUCCUGGUCGGACAUCAGGAGGUUAGUGCAAUGGCAUAAGCCAGCUUGACUGCGAGCGUGACGGCGCGAGCAGGUGCGAAAGCAGGUCAUAGUGAUCCGGUGGUUCUGAAUGGAAGGGCCAUCGCUCAACGGAUAAAAGGUACUCCGGGGAUAACAGGCUGAUACCGCCCAAGAGUUCAUAUCGACGGCGGUGUUUGGCACCUCGAUGUCGGCUCAUCACAUCCUGGGGCUGAAGUAGGUCCCAAGGGUAUGGCUGUUCGCCAUUUAAAGUGGUACGCGAGCUGGGUUUAGAACGUCGUGAGACAGUUCGGUCCCUAUCUGCCGUGGGCGCUGGAGAACUGAGGGGGGCUGCUCCUAGUACGAGAGGACCGGAGUGGACGCAUCACUGGUGUUCGGGUUGUCAUGCCAAUGGCACUGCCCGGUAGCUAAAUGCGGAAGAGAUAAGUGCUGAAAGCAUCUAAGCACGAAACUUGCCCCGAGAUGAGUUCUCCCUGAGACUUUAAGUCUCCUGAAGGAACGUUGAAGACGACGACGUUGAUAGGCCGGGUGUGUAAGCGCAGCGAUGCGUUGAGCUAACCGGUACUAAUGAACCGUGAGGCUUAAC
rnacentral:rRNA from 1 species